rnacentral:rRNA from 1 species
UACGAAGGGGGCGAGCGUUGUUCGGAAUUACUGGGCGUAAAGGGCGCGCAGGCGGCUCAGACAGUCAGAUGUGAAAGCCCCGGGCUUAACCUGGGAACUGCAUUUGAUACUACUGAGCUUGAGUACGGGAGAGGAUAGUGGAAUUCCCAGUGUAGAGGUGAAAUUCGUAGAUAUUCGGAAGAACACCAGUGGCGAAGGCGACUACCUGGUCUGGCAUUGACGCUCAUGUGCGAAAGCGUGGGGAGCAAACAGG